UCCCUGAUGGUCCAGUGGUUAGGAUUCUGCACUUCCACCACAGCGGGUACAGGUUCGAUCCCUGGUCAGGGAA